AUUUUCCAUAUCUACACAGUAACGGCUACCCUUUCUCGUGGGUAUAUAUUCUUUAACAGGGUUCCUUGAUGAAUGAAAGGUCUUGAGAUUGGGUAACAUUAUUGUCAUGCUUUUUAAGAAAAGCUAAAAAUGGCCAGCGUAAUUCGUCUCAAGAAUCUCGGAAAAUAGGUGUAUUUUUACAAUAUUUAUAGUUAUCCUUAGGUCAACAUCGAACUUUCUAUUUAUGUCUAAGUUGGCAAUACUGACAAGAAUAUAUGCAGUUUUUUGUAUUACGCACAUACGUUUAGAUGAACCUUUAUGCCCUUAUAACCCUUUGCACCAAGACUGCUGUAUUUCAUACUAUUUUGAAAUAGUGAUUUGCAUGAAGGCAUGCUUUCAAUUAUUUUUAAUAAUCCAUGCAUCUCAAAAUAUGCAUGCAACAAAAAAUAAAUAUAACCUAACAUUAAAAUAAAUUUGUUAUGUAAAUCUCUAAUAAUGGAUAAAAGUAUGCUACAUCAUUUAGAUUUAAGACUUCAUAUUUUCUCUAAAAACUUGUGCCCCUGUAGUUGGGAGUGGUCAUUCACAAUCUCCACUGUAAACAAAUAUUGAAUGCGGAUAUGAAUAGCCACUCCCACUUUAGGCCGCUGUUACAGUUUUUUUUAAAUUUUGUACGUAGAAUAAGUAAUGUCAAUCUCCUCUCUCGUCAUACAAACGUUGUUCAUAACAACUUGCUAAGACCAAAAAUUGGGAAAAUAUUCUUCAAUUGAAUUUGAAUUCAUGUUUUCGAAACAACCGAGGACAACUGGUAUUCUUUGCACCAAAGUUAUUGUAACCGUGAUAAGUAUACUGUUGCUUAUGAUAUAAUUAGACAAUGACCAAAGUGACAUCAAACUUGGAUUCUCCGACCCCCUGCCAAAAAGGAGGCUCUGAUUCGUCCCCACCGGAUUCAGGUAGUUCGGAGGAUGAGUCUGAAAAUGAAG